GUGCCAGCCCGGUAAUACGGAGGGUGCAAGCGUUAUCCGGAUUUACUGGGUUUAAAGGGUGUGUAGGCGGGUCUUUAAGUCAGUGGUGAAAUCUCCGAGCUCAACUUGGAAACUGCCAUUGAUACUAUUGAUCUUGAAUUUUGUUGAGGUAGGCGGAAUAAGUCAUGUAGCGGUGAAAUGCAUAGAUAUGACUUAGAACACCAAUUGCGAAGGCAGCUUGCUAAACAAAUAUUGACGCUGAGGCACGAAAGCGUGGGGAUCAAACAGG
rnacentral:rRNA from 1 species